GAAAGAAGUUCCACCUGUAGUGAAGAAAAAGUUAUGGGAGGACGUAACGUUUAAGUUUGAUCUCGACGAAUCAAAGAGGAAAGAUGUAUUGAGACAAUUUUCUGACUUGUGGCGAGGAUGGAGGAAACGAACUGCUGCAAAGCAUGUUACCCCAUUCGAAAAAAGCCGAAAAAAGCUUAAGAAUGUUCCUUCAGAUUUAAGAGGUUUUGUAGAACAAGAAGAAUGGAAAGAGUUUGUAAAACGGAGAUUGAGCGACAAAGGCAAGGAGUUGUCUGAAAUUGGCAAAACGGUACAAGCUCACCACAAAUAUCCGCAUAGGAUGGGACGAAGGA